CCUACGGGUGGCAGCAGUAAGGAAUAUUGGUCAAUGGAGGAAACUCUGAACCAGCCAUCCCGCGUGAAGGAUGAAGGGGCUCUGCCUUGUAAACUUCUUUUGUCUGGGGCGAAAAAGCUCGAUUUAUCGAGAACUGACGGUACCAGAAGAAUAAGCACCGGCUAACUCCGUGCCAGCAGCCGCGGUAAUACGGAGGGUGCCGGAGUUAUUCGGAAUAAAGGGGGCGUAGGCGGCUUAGUGAGGCAGAGUUGAAAGGCUGUGGCUUAACCAUGGAAUUGCCAUUGAUACUGCAGAGCUUGAGUGAGGUUGAGGUUGGCGGAAUGUGACAUGUAGCGGUGAAAUGCUUAGAUAUGUCAUGGAACACCGAUUGCGAAGGCAGCUGACUGGACCGAUAUUGACGCUGAGGCACGAAAGCGUGGGGAGCGAACAGGAUUAGAUACCCGAGUAGUC
rnacentral:rRNA from 1 species